AUUGAACGCUGGCGGCAGGCCUAACACAUGCAAGUCGAACGAGUGGCGGACGGGUGAGUCAUGUCUGGGAAACUGCCUGAUGGAGGGGGAUAACUACUGGAAACGGUAGCUAAUACCGCAUACCAUCAGAUGUGCCCAGAUGGGAUUAGCUUGUUGGUGGGGUAACGGCUCACCAAGGCGACGCUCCCUAGCUGGUCUGAGAGGAUGAACAGCAAAAAGGGAACGGAUACAAGGUACAGACUCCGACGGGAGGCAGCAGUGGGGAAUAUUGAACAAUGGGCGCAAGCCUGAUGUAGCCAUGCCGCGUGUAUGAAGAAGGCCUUCGGGUUGUAAAGUACUUGCAGCGGGGAGGCGUUACCCGCAGAAGAAGCACCGGCGAACUCCGGGCCAGCAGCCGCGGUAAUAC
rnacentral:rRNA from 1 species